AAAGUUUAAUUGAUUAUUUGAUUAUUGAUUAAUUCUGCUGCUUUACUUAGUUGUUGUUAUUUUUUUUUCUAGCGCUCUCUGUUUGGGCUCUUUCUUGUGGUUCUCUCCUUUGUCGUCGUCACUUGCUUCUUCCUUCUCUGUUCGAGCUCUGCUUUGUUAAUAAUGAACGAGCUAAAAGAGAUACAAGAAUCCUCUUGAGUCAUUGAUAUCAUUAUCUGCAAUAAAUGAGCAACUGAAAGCAGUGUCACUGACUAGUGACUACUGUUAAUUUCUCUGUUCUUUUUUGAUAUGAUGUUUGAAGAAAAAAGGAGUGGAUGCAAAAUGAAAGACAAUGAAAUACUAAAACUAGGAGAAGAUUUGAAGGUAAAAGAGAAAACAUGCAGAAAUAAGAAAGUCGAGGUAUUAUUCUUCUUUAAUUACUUAUAUUAAAAGAAUCUUAUUUGCUUGCUAUAACUUCACGAUUAUUUAAUAUUAAGAAAUGGUAGCUCUUAUUUGUUAUUCAGAUUAAGGAGUUGGAGAGAAAAUUAAAAGAAUAAGAGUUAGUUGCAGUUAUUGAGAAGAGCUAUUUAUGUAUAAUGACUAUUUUUUAAUAUAUAAAUAAUAUUUUUGUGCAAUAUUUUUGUAUGCCUAUUAUAUGUGCACUCUUUUGUAAUAAAUUUUGUGUAUUUUUUAUGUAUUUUUUAUGUACUUUUCUAAUUUUAUUGCUAUGUGAUUGUUGAAUUCUUAAAGAAUCUUCUUCUUUUAGCUAAUUUUUUAAUAAAUGAUAAAACCACGAUUAAGUGAUUAAUUAAAGUUUAAAAAUAAAGCUGCUGGCAUAAACACAACGGGGUGGUGGCGCAGUUGGCUAGCGCGUAGGUCUCAUAGUUUAAGAGUAAUCCUGAGGUCGAGAGUUCGAGCCUCUCUCACCCCAUUUUUCUUUUCUCAAAUAAAUUAUCGUACUCUUUUAAUUUUAUUUUUUAUAUAUUUUUUACCUACUUUUUUAAUUUUAUUAUUGUAUGAUAAUAUAAUGAUGAUGAUUAAACUUUUUUUAUAUAGUAUAUAAACUUAAUAAUAAUAAUUAGCAAUU